GCAGAUGUAACUCAGUGAAAGAGUACUUGCCUAGCAUGCAAAAGGCCUUGGGUUCAAUCCUCAGCACUGCC
rnacentral:tRNA from 1 species